AAUUGAAGUGUAAAUAAGGGUUUGGGCUGUGUAAAUCUGGACAGCAAGAGGUGCUGCUGGUGGUAAUUCCCUGUGUCCCAGAGGGAGGAGGCAGCAGGAGCUGUCUGGGCUCUGGCUCUCUGCAGAGCAGAGGAUGAGGAAGGAAGCAGUGGACACACGGAUUUCCCUGUCCCAGCACUGAUGUGAAAUGCUGAGGGGCUGAGAGUUCCCUCUCCUGAUUCUUCAUGACAGCACAAAGAGUCGGUGACCAGCACCUUGCUCCAGACUUCCACGAUCCUUGUGCUGCGAGUUCCCUUCCAGGAGAGGUCAAGAAUCAAGCCCUGCAUCCUGGAAGUCAGGAGCCAGGCUGUGUUUGCAGGACAGGGACUGCUGCCCAGGCAAGCAGGGAGCUGGAGAACAGCUGAGAUUAUGGAGAAUUAAAGCUUCUCAUCCAGCACAGAAG